GAGAGCAGCGCCACCUGGUGGUCGGUGGAAACAGCUACAUCCUGGCGGGCGCUGCUGGUAAGACACGAAACGGCGGCUUCGACCAAUUCUCUCUCGUUCAUACAGUAGAAGACGGUCCUGAAACACGCCAGUACACGUGUUGGCUCCUUCAUCUUUUCCUUCUUCUUCUCCUCCUCCGUUGACAUCCACGACGGCAGCGCCCGGCGUCUCUCCAUCACGCUGGCCUUACAUUAAGUGACCGUGCACAGCUUCCCCGGCACGUUGUAACGCUCUCAUGCAGCGUUUAGUGUCUGCGAAACAGAAACAGCACGCUGCGGUCACGUGACUGGUGUGACGCACUUUAGCGCCGCUUAGCGGCCAAAUAUCUCAAUGCAGUGUGACAUUCAAAACAAUAAAAACUCAUGAUUGAA